AGGUCCUGGCAUCUUGUC
rnacentral:piRNA from 1 species